CCCUGCCCUGCUGGGCUUCCACCAGGCCGCCAGGAGUCAAGCCCAGUCACGGCUGGAGCCUCUUCCCUGAAUCUUUAGCAAUUCAGCUUUGGGGGGAUGAUGGGCGGUGCCUGCUGUGCCCAUCACACCUGGAAACUGGAUUUGAAUUUGCCUCUGAGCCAAUGAGCUGCCCCGGACACCGGCUGCCAGAUGCUAAGUUCACCUGGAUUCUUCCAUUUCAACCUCAGAAGCAUCCUGGGUUAGAAAUGAUACUCUUGCCAUUUUCCAGAUGAAGCUCCCACAGCUCGGGGCGACCCUCCGACCCGAGCUGCAUCCCCUGCCCCCCCGGCCGGUCGUGGAUGGCUUGGUCGGGUUCCCGUGAAUGCAGAACUUGAGGCCUUGAGGGCAGGUGGUUUGUCUGGGGAGGUGGUCCCCAGGAAGCCAGAGCCAGACACGGAUGGCGGAAAAGCUGAGGAGAAGCUGCUUUGUCCAUGGCUGAGUAGCCUUCCUGGGCUAUGAGUUUCUGCCAGAUCACCAACAGCUGUGCCCAGUUUGUGCCAGCCAAAACCUGAACCACAGGCUUCUCUCUGGUUAAGUACAGUAUGGUCUAGGGGUAGCUGAAGCUUCCAGCUGGAGAAGGCUGGAGAAGAUCUUGGAGCAAACCCCUGCAGGGGCCACACACCUGCUGCAUCCUGGAGAAAGUGAGCGUUGCCUGUGGACUUCCUGUUGCCGGAGGCAGGAAGCUCUGGGGUGCAGCCCAGCCCUUUGAAUGGUCUCCAGCAUCCGCUGGCUCUGGGACUUCACGCUCUGCUCAAUAGAAUCACUUUACCGGGCAUGCCACAAUGGUGAUUCAUCUCGCCCGGGAGUCACAGCCCCGCUCCUGCGGCCGUCUAAAGGUGCUGAAAUGCAUAACUCCUGUGUGCACUUACAAACUUCUCAGUGCACCGGUGCUGCGGGCCUCUUUCGUUCCAGGCAGAAAUUCAAGAGACCUGGAUUCCAAUCCGAUGCUCGUCUCUAACCGGCCUCGAGCAAGGCUUCGUUCGGUGUCUCCUGUUUUUAGAACGGGGACUAGAUCCCAUCUCUGUGAUGUGGACGGAGCACGGGGCUGUGCGACAGGAAUGGGGGUUUCAGCUUUGGCUCUGUCACCUGUCACCUGGGCAAGGCAUUCACUUAUGUCUCAGUGCCUCACGCUGUGGGAUGACAUGGCUGGAGAUGAUUCGUGUCCUUCAGGGUGUGACCUGAAGAACCCUUGUCCCCUAAGCAGCUAUCGAAAGAAGUCCUGGGAAAGGUUUGGGGAACUCUGGAGGCAAGGUUCCCUUCUCGGGAAGUCACAUCAGGGUACACAUUUGUAUAUUGCAGCCUCUGAAAGUCCCCUCAGAGACACCCAUCUAACUUUGCUUGAA
rnacentral:lncRNA from 1 species